rnacentral:rRNA from 1 species
AUUGAACGCUUGCGGCAGGCUUAACACAUGCACGUCGAGCGCGCGUCGGACGGGUGAGUAAUUUCUGGGCCUCUGCCCUAUAGCGGUUGCUAACUACUGGAAACGGUGGCUAAUACCGCAUACUAUACGCUUAACCCCUAUGGGAUUAGCUAGUAUGUGGGGUAAUGGCUCAAAUAGGCGACGCUCUCUAGCUGGUCUGAGAGGAUGAGCAGCCACACGGGGACUGAGACACUGCCAAGACUCCUACGGGAGGCAGAAGUGGGGAAGAGUGCACAAUGGGCGCAAGCCUGAUGCAGCCAUGCCGCGUGUAUGAAGAAGGCCUUAGGGUGGUAAAGGAGUUUCAGCGGGGAGGCGUUACACGCAGAAGAAGCAACGGCUAACUCCGUGCCAGCAGCCGCGGUAAUAC